rnacentral:rRNA from 1 species
UACGUAGGGGGCGAGCGUUGUCCGCAGUUACUGGGCGUAAAGCGCGCGUAGGCGGGUCUUUAAGUGAGGGGUGAAAGGUUCAGGGCUCAACCCGGACACUGCCUUUCAUACUGGGGACCUUGAGUGCGGGAGGGGCGAGUGGAAUGGUCGGUGUAGCGGUGAAAUGCGUAGAUAUCGAUCGGAACACCCAUGGCGAAGGCAGCUCGCUGGCCUGCAACUGACGCUGAGGCGCGAAAGCGCGGGGAGCAAACAGG